rnacentral:rRNA from 1 species
UACGUAGGGGGCAAGCGUUAUCCGGAUUUACUGGGUGUAAAGGGAGCGCAGACGGCAGUGCAAGUCUGAUGUGAAAGCCCGGGGCUCAACCCCGGAACUGCAUUGGAAACUGUACAGCUCGAGUGUCGGAGAGGUAAGCGGAAUUCCUAGUGUAGCGGUGAAAUGCGUAGAUAUUAGGAGGAACACCGGUGGCGAAGGCGGCUUACUGGACGAUAACUGACGUUGAGGCUCGAAAGCGUGGGGAGCAAACAGG